GGUCCCAAAGCCGCAAACGAGUCAGGCAUCGUGGUAGGACCUGGCGAGUGGGGCCGGGGAGAGCGGGACGCCUGGAUCGGGAACUUGUCGCAUUCACAUUGGCUGCUAGGAGGCCUCGGCGACCACUUCCGGAUCCGGGGCGGGGGUCGCAACUCCCAGCCCUUGCUCAGAGGGCUGAACUAGAAUUCCCAGAAGCCUCUGCGGCUGCCUUCCUUCUCCUUCACUCCUGCUUCCCCCACAAAUAACACUUCUUCUUUAGGCAUUGAAGACUGUUCCUUUCUGGGUGAAGGAGAAUCACGUAGCAAUUGGGAGCAAGAUGCAUCCAUGCAACCCAGUGCUGGAGGUCAAGAUGGAGACAAUCUCCACAGCCACCAUGGCCUUUCCCUGAUUGCUACUGUAACUCAGGAGGAAAGCCACCCAGAUACUGCAGAACACCAACAUGCUGAAGGCAAACCAAAGAGAAGAAAGACUUUGUGCUUGAGAGUUGAAAAUGAGACCACCUUGCCACGUCAAUUCAGGUCUCUUAAAGUCUUCCCUUGCAGGAGAAGAGGGAAGUGAAAAGAAAUCUUCUUGCAAACAGGGUCUGGUGUGGACCUCCAGCAAACUCCAACAGAUUAGUUCAUUGACAGAAAGGGAUUGUCUUGUGAAAGGGAAAUAUCUUGGAUCCCUUCAAGCUGGGAACCCCUCAGGGCAAAUCUGCCUACUUCUGUCAAUUCAUCAAUCUCAUUCUCCAUCCAGUUUUGUGCCCUUGCUGGAGAGGAGUUGCCAUCAUUUGUCAUACACAAGUAUCAAUAGCCAAAUUGAUCACGCAAAGAAAAGAUACCAGAGAUUGAAGAUCAACUUACUAAAAUAAGGCAUGAAGAAAAGAUUAGAGAAAAAAGAAUGAAAAGGAACUAACAAAGCCUCCAAGAAAUAUGAGACUAUGUGAAAAGACCAAACUACAGUUGAUUGGUGUACCUGAAAGUGACAGGGAGAAUGGAACCAAGUUGGAAAACGCAUUUCAGGAUAUUAUCCAGGAGAACUUCCCCAACCUAGCAAGACAGGCCAACAUUCAAAUUCAGGUAAUACAGAGAACACCACUAAGAUACUCCUCAAGAAGAGCAACCCCAAGGCAAAUAAUUGUCAGAUUCUCCAAGGUUGAAAUAUAUGCAAUGUAUUCAAUAUAAGCUCUCAGUAUUUAAGAUUUAGUAGGGCUUGGUGUCAUUUUUAGACCCAGGAGUCAAGGCCCUGUAACUCAAUGUCACAAGGACUUUAAAAGCACAUACAGGAAGAUAACAAAUGUAAUAACCUUCAUUAAAAAUUUUUUUAACCUCAGUUUUUUCUAAGCAAUAAAACAUAAAAUCUUCUAGGCAGGUUACCAAAAGGCAAAAAAAAAAAAAAAAAAAAAAAACCCUUCUGCAGUGCACAGAAUAUUAUGUUCAAAGGAAACAUUUCCUUUAGACCUUUGAGGAAACACUGUUAGCAUCAGGCAACAACAACAACAAAAAACUGGAACCCAAGGAAAACAAACUUAUAUGACCUGAAAAUGAGUUGAAAGAGAGUGUUACUAUUUUGUGCCUUUUAGAAAGGGAGAGAAAACCAAAACCCAUGAGAUGCAAUAAAAGUUGAAUUUUGGGUU